rnacentral:rRNA from 1 species
CAGUUCGGAUUGGAGUCUGCAACUCGACUCCAUGAAGCUGGAUUCGCUAGUAAUCGCGCAUCAGCCAUGGCGCGGUGAAUACGUUCCCGGGCCUUGUACACACCGCCCGUCAAGCCAUGGGAGCCGGGGGUGCCUGAAGUACGUGACCGCGAGGAGCGUCCUAGGGCAAAACUGGUGACUGGGGCUAAGUCGUAACAAGGUAAC